AUAUUCCCCAGAAAAGGUAAGUUCAUGAUUAGGAAGGUGAUUUUCUCUGGACAGGGCUUACCAGCAUCAACGAGGAUGUGCUGAGCCCUGAGAUUUCCUCAAGUAUGGGAAAUCCAAGUGUGCAAUUCGUGAAAGUGGAGGACCAUUUUUACCUCAU
ensembl:snRNA U1 U1 spliceosomal RNA